rnacentral:rRNA from 1 species
GACGAACGCUGGCGGCGUGCCUAAUACAUGCAAGUCGAACGAACCGCGACUAGGUGCUUGCACUUGGUCAAGGUGAGUGGCGAACGGGUGAGUAACACGUGGGUAACCUACCUCAUAGUGGGGGAUAACAGUCGGAAACGACUGCUAAUACCGCAUAGGACAUAGGAUCACAUGAUCCAGUGAGGAAAGGUGGCGCAAGCUAUCGCUAAGAGAUGGACCCGCGGUGCAUUAGCUAGUUGGUAGGGUAAAGGCCUACCAAGGCGAUGAUGCAUAGCCGACCUGAGAGGGUGAUCGGCCACAUUGGGACUGAGACACGGCCCAAACUCCUACGGGAGGCAGCAGUAGGGAAUCUUCCGCAAUGGACGCAAGUCUGACGGAGCAACGCCGCGUGAGUGAAGAAGGUCUUCGGAUCGAAAAGCUCUGUUGUUAGAGAAGAACAGCGCAUAGAGUAACUGUUAUGCGUGUGACGGUAUCUAACCAGAAAGCCACGGCUAACUACGUG